GGGGCAUUAGCUCAGUUUGGGAGAGCGCUUGAAUGGCAUUCAAGAGGUCAUCGGUUCGAUCCCGAUAUGCUCCA
rnacentral:tRNA from 1 species